UACGGAGGAUGCGAGCGUUAUCCGGAUUUAUUGGGUUUAAAGGGUGCGUAGGCUGUUAUGUAAGUCAGGGGUGAAAUACCUUUGCUCAACGAAGGAGCUGCCCUUGAUACUGCAUAGCUGGAGUACGGAUGCCGUUGGAGGAAUGAGUGGUGUAGCGGUGAAAUGCAUAGAUAUCACUCAGAACACCGACUGCGAAGGCAUCUGACGAAUCCGUCACUGACGCUGAGGCACGAAAGCGUGGGGAUAGAAC
rnacentral:rRNA from 1 species